ensembl:snRNA U6 U6 spliceosomal RNA
AUGCUCAUUUCAGCAGCACAUACACUAAAACCAGAACGAUACAGAUAACAUUAUCAUGACCCCUACACAAGGAAGACAUGAAAAUUUGUGAACCACUACACAUUAAA